rnacentral:lncRNA from 10 species
UUGCCAGGCUCUGGGCUGGAGCGGUGUCUCUUCCUUCCUGGGAAUGGAUGUGCGGCGGGGGGGACUGCGCCCGGCUGGGGCGGGGCCGAAUCGUGCCUUUUAGAUAGUCACAACUUAGCCUCCUCCUUUUCCAUCCGCGAUUUUUUUGGAAUUCUCCACUUUACCAAUACUUACAGGAUCUGGGACACACAGACUUUGAAAUAUGUUCUUCUUUGUCACCAAAAACAGAAAAAUGCACAACAGAGGGACAACAAAAGCCUCCUACAAGAGUCCUACCAAAAGGGUAAAGUCCGCAUGGAAUUAGAGGGGGAAAGUCUGCACUGGAACCUGCUGUGGCCAUUUUUUUUCUGUUGUUGCUGCUUCUCUAGUGGAGUUACUGCAGCUUAGGGAUGGUUCCUGGAAGUGGACACAUUUUACAAAAACGUUUUUUAAAUACACGCCAGCUCUUCGAGAAGCACUUUUUUCCUUCCGUCAUGCUUCAUACUAUAUUGUAUUGUACUAACCCCUCAUGCUGGGAUGAGCGACUGCCUAGCAAGCAACCCACUGCCUACUAACAUCAAGAGGGGCUAAAUAAAACUGCAUUUUCCUUGCAAGGACAACUUCUACCGUAUGAAUAUAUAUUAU